AUGUGGGAAGAAUCGGAUGCUACGGCGGUGCCCUCGUGCGGUCGUGCGCCCGCUUCGCUGUUGGUUCGGCUCCAACGGCCGGCGUCGACCCCCUUCACGACCAGAAAUCGCUACCCAGAUGACGCCGCCGAUCUGCCGCCUGGCGACGCCGAUGCCGACGAGGUAGGCGACGGAGGUGCUCAUGGUGCCCUCGAGCUUGAAGCCGAGGAGCUCCGGGUAGCGCUCGAGCACGCGCGGCACGUCGCCGGGCUUGACGUCCAUCCCCUGGAGGUACUUGACGACGGGCGCGAGGUCGACGACGAUGCUGGCGUGGAGCACCUGCGGGUAGCGGCGGAGCAGGUGCGGGAGCUCGUCGCAGCGGACGCCGAUCUUGCCGAGGUAGUCGAGGACGGGACCAUGUUCUUGCGGACGCUGCAGCCGAGGGCGAGCGGGUAG
rnacentral:rRNA from 1 species